AUGUUUGGAGACGCGGUGUCACCUCAAUGUGAGGAACAGCCACCCAAGACACGUCUGGACUUCCUCCCACCACCUGUCACCAGGGAUCAGAAUCUCGGCCCCGGGGACCCUCGACCCAUAAACAUCUUGGGCCUGAAGCACCACCGAGCACGCCACAGCCUUGGCCUGGGGCUGCUUCAGAGACACUGCACAGGGGCCUCUCACUUCCCCGGCCAGGAGCCACCCACGCUGCACCCAGGGAGGCCCCAUCUGCGUCUGUCCCACCUUUCAGACCAAGCCAGCCAGAGGCGCCCAGAAAGACUAUGCCAGGCCUCAGCUGUGUUGAAACCCAGGUUGGGGACAGUGGCAAGACCUGUGCCACCGUCUGCCCUUGAUCCUGGCUGGAUUCAGUUGCGUGGCUGCGCCCCAGUGAAGGCGCAGGGGGCACCACCACCUGCACAGGAAGGGAAGGAAGCCCACGGCAGAGCCCGCUCACGUGUGGCCACGCCCCCCGGCCCAGCCCCCUCACACAUGGCCACACCCCCUGCCAGCCCCCUCACAUGUGACCACACCCCCGGUCAGUCCCCUUCCACACGUGGUCACGCCCCCUCGCACAUGACCACGCCCCUCCCAGCCCCCUCACAUACGGCCACGCCUCUUACCCAGCCCCUCACACGCGUGGCCACGCCCCCUUCUCAGCCUCCUCACGCGCGUGGCCUCGCCCCCUGCACGGCCCCUUCACACGUGGCCACGCCCCUGCCCAGCCCCCUCACACGCAUGGCCACGCCCCUGCUCAGCGCCGUCACACGCACGGCCACGCCCCUACCCAGCCCCCUCACACGUAUGGCCACGCCCCUGCUCAGCGCCCUAUCGCGUGCUGCCCCCCCGUGCCCAUCCAGGGCGGCCUCCUCCGCACCAGGGCUGACCCAGUGUGGGGUCCAGGUGGGCUCUGGGAGGCCCCAGGGCAGAGCUGUAUCCCGCGUCACUGAGGCUGCACGGAGAAAAAGGAAGGGGCGGAGGAAGCCGAAACCUGACCCGCGCUGCCUGGGCGUGGCGAGCCUGCUAGUCGUCCCGCCUGCUCAUCUGCUUUCCCUCUGUCUGUAA
rnacentral:lncRNA from 1 species